UUACCCUUAAGUGUUAUAUUUAUGAUAAAAAAAUUUGUAGUGUCAUCUUAGGAUUUUUUUUUUGCAUGAACUAUAUUAUAAAAGCUCAGGGUGCAUCAAAGUUUACAAACGAAAUACAAAAUUCUGGAGACCUUUUCAACAGUAGAACAUAACUAGAAAGCAUAAGAUCAAAUCGAGAGAUAGAGCCUAUAAGGUGCGAGUCAUUCUCAGCAGUGUGAAAAAAAAACUGUGGGGAAGCUCCACUUUGUCCCUAAAGCGAUUUUUUUCGAAAAAACAAUUGAUAGUCGAAUAACACAACUUUGACGCACCCAAAAACGGUUGGGAUAUUGGCCGACAAGAACUGUAGGUGAGAAACUCCAGAACUAGGCAACAUCGAGAGAACGAAGCCCUAGUUGACUUGAUUUGACACUCAAACAAGCACUUUCCACUCUAAAACCAACAAAGCUUACAGAAGAGACCAGGUGAAUCUCAAACUCAUCGAUGAGUAUAAAGGUUGGAUGGGGGCGGGGAGACGGUUGACGCUAGGAAAUUUAAUUUUCUAAAUUCUGUUAAUUUGCGUCAAUUUGUCAUUUGCUUGUAUUUACAUUGUCAACAUACAUUUGCAACUAAUCUGCUUUCAUUUUCAAAUCUCUUUGGCUACCCUCUUUAUUACUCCUCGUAUAGACUCAUAAGUAAACAAGACAACUUCUCCAAAUGUUGUUAGUUUGUGUUAGACUACCAUCAAUUUGCCAUUAUGUUCCUUUACUUUGCCAACAUCUACCACGUCUUUGCCGUCAUUUUCCAGACUUUAUAGUUAGCCUUUUCAUCACUCCGUGAAUUGAAAUCUAAAAUUUUUUUUUUUUUUUUUUUUUUUUGAAAGAAUGUUAAAUUUUUAUUCAAUCAAAAAACCUUGUUACAACUAAGUGUGGACCUGAUUAAUACAAACUUCCAGCAACCUUAACUACUCAUAUAAUUCCUAUACUCUUGUUUGGAACCAAAAUUGAAGAGCUCCCACCAUACCCCUUCCUCCAUUCCUUCUCAUCAGGCUGAGCCUGUUUCUAACACCCUUAUCCGUGAGCUUCUUGAUCAUAGACAGCGGAAUUGGCUUUUCCCCAUGCCUGAUCUUAUUUCUUUCUCUCCAAAUUGUAUAGACUGCAGCUUGAAAUUCAUAUCUAAUACAAAAUAACCUCUUCUUAUCACCUCUACUAUUUGAAAUCAUCAGCACAAGUGAAGACCAGACGUUAGAUUAAGAAUUCAUUAGAAUUCCACUGCUGAGAUGACUCCACAACUGCGAUGAAAAAGCACACUCAAAGAAUAAAUGAUUACGGGUUUCUGCAGCAGCCUUACAUAACACGCAGAUAGUAUCAGCUCCACUGCACCACUUUGAUACCCUGUCCAUAGUAGAGAGCCUGUCCAGCAUAGCUAACCAAGAUAAAAAUGCAAACUUCGGGGUAGCCAUAGAAAACCAAAUCCCCCGCGCCCAAUUGAACUGCUCGUUGGACCCUCUCAUCAUUCGCCAAGUAUCAUUUGUUGAGAACGUUUCUUUAAACCCAGAACUUCCUUUCCAGAGACUAACAUCAUCCACUUCUCUCUGAAUGCAAACUCUAUAAUUCAACAAGAUAAUGUCUCAAAAUGUUGUUAGUUUGCGUGGCCAUUAAAUUUUCUUUACUUUGCCAGCGUCUGCCACUCAUUUGCUUUUAUUUUCAAAUUUUUACAGCUAGCCUCUUGAUCAUUUCUUGUAUGCGUUCAUAAAUUCAACAAGAUACUGUCUUCAAACGUUGUUAGUUUCUGUUCUUAUAAUCUACCAUUAAACUCCUAUUAAUUUGCCAGAAUUUUUUCUCUACUCUGCCAAUGUUUUUCACAAAUCUUCCUUCACUUUCCAACCCAUGUGGCUAGUCUCUUCAAUGAAAGAGUCACUCCUUAUAUGCGCACUCAUAAAUUCAACAAGUAAUGUUUCCAAAUAUUGACAGUUUGUGUUAGUCUUCCAUUAACUUGUCAUCAAUUUGUCUUUACUUUGCCAACAAUUACCACUAAUAUUCAGUUCAUUAUUCGGCGGAUCUCCUCUUCAUCAUUCCUUGUAUUAAUUUUUGUUAAUCUGCCUUUGCUUUAAAUAUCUGCCACUAAUGUAUCUUUCACUACAAGAAAAAUGAGUUUUAAUAGCAGACCGGAAUAGCGUUUUUUACGAUUGUGCUAUAGUUGACAUACCCGUUAGUUUUAGAUAGCGUUUGUAUAUUUGAAAAUGCUAUGAUAGAGUGGUAUAUUUGGAAACGCUAUGAUAACAUAUGGUUUUAUAUGUAUCACUUGGGUUUUGAUAGCAAAACAUGAUUAAAAACGCUAUGUUUGGUUUUUAAAUCCCUAAACCCUAAAACAAGUUUUUUAACCGUAAACUCUAAAUAAAAAUUUUAAACUCUAUUUUAACAUCAAAUCUUAAAUUUAACUUCAAAUGUUAGAUAUAAACUCAAAAAUUAAUCAUUUCCAAAAAUUUAUCUCAAAUCUUAAAAUCAAUAUCCCAAACCUUUAACUUUUAAACCAUAUACUCAUACAUUUAUUCUAAACUCAAAAUUUUAAAAAUAAAUUAAUUAAAAAAAAUAUCAACACUAAAUAAAAAUUCAAAAAUUAUUUAUUUUUCAAAAAUUAAUAUUAAAUCAAUACUCUAAACCUUUAAUCCUCAAACCCUAUACUCAAACCUUUAUUCCAAACUCAAACUUUAAAUCUAAAAUCUAAAGACAAACUUUUCAAAUCCUAUACUCAAACAUUUAAACCUUUAAACUAAUUUCAUUUACUUUUACUCUUUUACUUUAAACCUUUUACUUUAAACCUUUAAAAAAAUUUCAUAUUACAGUUUAAAAAUUUUGGACUUGGACUAAUGGUUAUAUACGAAUCACACGAUCUUCUUUUGGAUCUAAAGUUAGGGAUCCACUAACCGUUUUCUGAUUGGUCAGUGUGGGGUGACAAAGAUCGCUACUUUCAGCCUUUGAUAAAUGUUGAUCCAACGGCCACAGUUAAUUAAUCAAUUUUUCUAAUUUAUUUCUGCCUCAGAUUUUUUUUUCUUUCCUUUCUAUUUUGUUCUUCUUCCCUACGCCAUCAACAUAUCUCUUCUUCUUUUCUGUAUCUCUGCACAUAUUUCUUUCUUAUUCUCUAAACCACCACCACCACCGUCUCUUCUUAUUCCUUUUGUUCGAAUGGCGGUGGACUCCAAAGAAGGAAGGAUGAGAAGACAACAUGGUCGAGAUCUGGAAAUUCAAGUGUAGGAGAGCUUGCUCAAGAAGUGUCGCGAAGGUCUUCAAUCCACACAGAAACUUCAAUACGUUGCUUCUCCAUUGCUUCUGCUUCAUCGAUCCAGAAACAGUUGGAGAGCUUGCUGUCUAUAGUUGGUGGAGUAUGGUCAGUGAAUAGAAAAUCUUGAAGCUUGAGACAAAGGUGCGCGGAGAGGAUAGAUAAGCCGGAGACGAACUUGACGGUGGUGUAUGGGAUGAGCUUGGCAGUGGUGAGCCGAAGACGAGCUCGACGACAGUGAGUGGGAAGAGCCAUGGUGAUUCCGUCGUCAUCUCCAACGUCGAAGGAAAGAAGAGAGAGACGCGAGGGCUUGGUUGUCACAGCAAAUGGUGGUUGACGGCGGCGGAGCUAAGAAGCUUGAAAGCGGCGUAGUUUUGUUAUUAGGUUUAGUUAGCAAAUAUGUUUAGGUCUAAGCUUGGUUUAGGUCUAAGCUUGGUUUAGUUUUGGUUUAUUUUUUUAUAUGUAAACAGGUUUUAGUUUAUGAAUAAUUCAAUUUAAAAUAUUUAAAAUA